rnacentral:lncRNA from 1 species
CUUCCUCCUCUAGAAUGAUUUUUUUUCUGCUGUUUCUGGCUACCCGCAAUGUGGCAAAGGAAAAGGGCUCUCACAGUCUUUUCUUCCUUUCUUUCUUUCUUUCUUUCUUUCUUUCUUUCUUUCUUUCUUUCUUUCUUUCUUUCUUUCUCUCUCUCUCUUUUAUUUUUUUAAUUAGAUAUUUUCUUUAUUUACAUUUCAAAUUUUAUCCCCUUUCUGCAUUUCCACUCCGAAACCCCCCUAUCCCAUUUCUCCUCCCCCUGUUCACUAACCCACCCAUUCUUGCUUCCCUGUCUUGGUAUUCCCUACACUGGGGCAUCGGAAUUCCUGCUUAAUCUCCAGUAGAACCUACAUCCAGCAAGGAAGUGUUGGAUGACUGAAUUCAAGGGGCCAGGAGGAUUCCCUGGGAGAAACGGCACCAGGAGAGGCCCACGUUCCUGGUUCUUUGUGCCACUUCCUGACCUUCUCUACGGACCCCAUGGUAAGAUCGUGGGGUCUCCAGAUUCCAGCUGUGGUAGACAGCUGGGGUCAGAACACAUUGGUUGCCUAGGUCAGAUUCUUCCUUAAGGAAAAAGUAGUUUACAGGUUUCCUAUGUAGGGAAGAAUAGUGGGGGGUAGUAAAUUAGGGAGCCAGUGAGGGUCAUGAUGUUAUCUCUGCAACAAGCCAGUCUUUCCUACUGCAUAGAGUUUCUUGCUCUGCAAGGAAUUUUGAAGGCCAUCAGCCACAGAUGGUAACUAGCAAACAAAACAACACCCAAAAUCAACCAAACAAAACCCAGUCAACUUUUCCUAAUGUUCGUGGAUGGACCUGAAUCAGAGUCACAUGCCCAUUUAGCACACAAGACUUUCUUUUAACAAGGACAAUGUGGGGUUUGCUCAGGGGAGAGAGCUGGUGGGUUCAGCCCACGUCUGAUUAUUCUGAUUUAACAUAUCAAGGAGCCAGGCCCUUCAGAGUGCAUCAGAAGAUCCAAAUUCACAAGGUCACUGUGUGUGCCCGACUUCCUCAUACUCACCAUCUCCAUCCAGUUAAUGAGUGACUUGACUGCUUACCUGUAUACAGUGGAGGAAACUAAGUUACGAAAGAGGACUGCCUAGGAGGCCUUGGGCUAUGCAAGUCUGGUUGGCUUUCAGCCUUGAACUCUCUCUAUAUAUCUAUAUAUAUGUGCAUAGCACAUGCAUACUACAAAAUUUGUGUGUGAACUUUGGGGGUUGGCUCUCUCCUUCCACCAUAUGGGAAUUGAACUCAGGUUGUCAGGGCUGGGGACAAAGCUUUUAUACACUGAGCCAUCAUCUUCACUACUCCCAACAUACUCCUUGUUUUCAAGAUAGUGUUCCACUGGCCUGGACCUUAUCAAAUAAGCUAGUCUGGCUGGUCACCCUCAAGGGUCUGCUUGUCUCUGUCUUCCCAGAAUUGGAAUUACAGGUGUACAUGCCACCACAUCUCCAUUUUUUUUUUUUUUUUGAAAUACUAUGGAUUCUGGAGUGAAAAACUCAGGUCCUCAUGUUUACAAAGCAAACACUUUACUGACUGUUGCGUCUCUCCAGGCCAAUAAUGGGUCAUGCUUGUGUUGGAAUUGCUGCUCAAUAACUGACAGACCAUACCAGGCCAAUGUAGUUUCAUGUGGCAGAGGUUGAUUGUGGGGGCAGAGGCAAAGAGGGAGUGACAGAGACAAAGGGAAAAAGAGAAGAAAGAGGAGCGAAGGUCAGGAAGGCUCUGCCUUUUAUUUAGCCUGUGACAGAAGUGCUCACAGAUAAAGGUGGGAAGUGGACUCUGGAAAUGCAUGCAAUUGCCGUGGCAAUAGAGGCACAGGUCCCGAUCGCCAGUGGGUGACGUCACUGGGUUUGGAGCCAAUCUGCAAAGCGGGUUCAAUGCUGAUGAUGAAUGUGGUACAUACCUAGGCACCCUUAAAUGUAGCUAGAUAUCCUAUCGUCGAAGAUGUCCACUUUGCUUAUCCACCCCUACAGGUUAAAGUUGUUCCCAGGGUUUUGUGUUUUAUGCAUGGUUCCUAUGUAGGAAGGAUCUUCUUUUCUCGGAGGAUAUUCUAAGUAUUGAUUGCACAUAUACAGGUGUAGGAACAUUGAAGAUUUUCCUGCCUCCCCCCAGUGGAGACAAGGUCUUUUAUAUAACCUAGACUGGACUAAGCUUUUGGUCCUCCACUUCGGCCUCCCGAGUGCUGGGAUUAUAGUCAUGCGCCCUGUUGCCUGGUCAGGUUUCUUAUGUUUGUUACUGUUACUAUGCUUAGUAGCGGUGGGAUAGAAAUUGCUGUUGUCUUUCACAGAGCUCUGGGUCUGUACAAGUAAGAUCUUGAAAGCAGCUUCCUCAGUGCCAUUGUUCCAGGGCCGGUGGGAAGUAAGUAAGCAGGACUGUCCUGCCACUGGCCUUUCAGUGGUUGUUCACAUGGGCUUGCCUGUGGCCAGGAUGGUGGAGUCCUCUAGCCCUCACUGCCUUGUUGGGGACAUAUGUUCAGGGAUGACUGAGAAGCCAAGGCAAGUAGUUUCUGGCAGGGCCAUUCAUCCGUCUUCCCUUGACUACAGGGUCCAAGUAACCAGCAACUGAACGCCACAGCAUUUGCUCAAACUCUGCUCAAUUCAACCUGGGAAGUUCUUUCCUCAUCUCCCCGCCUCCUUGUUUUGAGUCAGGGUCUCAUGUAGUCCAGGCCAUUCUCAAACCUGACAAAAGCUAACUCUGACUCUGAACUCUUGGUUUUCCCACCAUCGCUGCUCACGUUCUGAGAUUAAAAGUGCGCAACACACCAUUCCUACUUUACAUGAUACUGAGUAUCAAGCCCAGGAUUUUGUGUGUGUUUAAAAAAUGACAACAGAAGUGCCUCCCCAGCCUUUCCUUCUUUUCUAUGGAUGUUUAUCCAGGACUACUCAGCAGUGUUCCUUCUACACCGUGAAGCAGACGAAAACACCUGCUGGUGGUUGCUUAUUAUCUAGCAGGGAGACAGACAAAAAUACAGCAACAAAUCAAUAAGUAAAGUAGUGGUUUACAAAGUUCAAUGCUAAGGAAAAACACAGAGCAGAGGAAGCGAGUGGGGAGAGCCGUGAGUGCAGGGUAAUGAACAAACUGAGCUGGUCUGAGAACGUAGAUCCAUACAAGAGCCCAUACACGUAAAGACCUGGGUUUGAGUUCCAGCAUGGCGAAAGAACAGGAUUCAUAUGAACCAAGACUCGGAUUCGCUAAGGAGCCAAGUGGGUCCCAGGCAGACUGAUAAGCCAAUAUUGAGGUGCUAGGGAUGUGGUGUUUGAUGUGUGCACUGAGUAGUCAGGUAGUGAUCGGCCCAGGGUGAGGCCAGCAGGCUGCAGUCAGUGAGACUGGUGGGAGGGGCCAUCCGUGCAGAUCACUGGGGAUUUUGAGAACCCUGUGAGGACCCGGGUUUAGACUUUAGUAACUGGGGUUUGCUCAGGAAAAUAGCAUGCAUUGACUUGUUUUAAAAGCAGAGUUGGAGAUGUGCUUAAGCCCCGACACAAGUCUCAUAAAACUGAGUGUGGUGGCACAUGCCAGUAAAUUCAAUCCUUGGAAAGGGUCAGAUGUUCAGGGACCCCAGCUACACAGCUAGUUCUAGGCCAGUAUGAGGUACGUACAUCUAAGGGGGUAUGGAGGGGCAUAUCCCUGCAACCUCCUUCCAGUGCCUUCUCUUUAACACUUCCUCUCAGAAACUCUCAAAGCUUUUCUCCUGCUCAGGAACCCAGGUGCCCUCCUGACUUCCCCAGGGUAGGGAAGCCUGGCUUUGCCUUCAGGGAUCUUUCUAGUAGUGUUCCUCAUGUAGGCUGAAUUCCAGGUGUGGUGUUUGUAGAGCACAUUUUAGGAAUUUGAAAUACAUUUGACUUUAAUCAUAUGUGUUAUAUAAGACCAUCUAACUUACUGUAUAGCAGUCAAUCCCCUAUUUUCUAAGAAGAAACCAAUUAUGUGUGU